GGAUGAUUUAUUGAUGUUUCCGCAAUGUACUAAUCUUCUAUACUUGGACUGUCAAGUUAAAGUAAAAUCCGAAGAUAGACUCACCAAUUUGAGAAUUUUGACAGAGGCGUCACCUUAUUUGUGAAAGUUUAAACUAGAGAUUAAAAAUUUCAAUCAAUACCGUAAAAAAGAGAGCAGAUUUGACAAGUUAUAUGAGGUGGAAAUGCAUCCGAAUAAGUACCUGAAGAAGGUGGAAAUAGUUGGAUUCUUGGGAGAAAUGGAGGAAGCUGAAUUUCUUACUUAUUUGGUUAAAAGUGCCAUUAAUCUUGAGAAGAUUAUACUUCAUAUCGAUGUCUUGAAUCUACAAAUAAUAUAUUCGGAGGAGUCUGCCGAUACUACGAAACAAAUGGCACAAAACUUGGCUCGUCAGCUCUUGAAAAAUCGCCCUGGAGCUGAAUUAGUUCUACUCUGACUUUGAUGUUGGUCGCCAUCAUAGGUGUUCUUUGUUUUUUUUUUUUUCUUGUUUCUUAAUUUUCAAUAAUUUUGUCUCAAAACACAUUUUCAUGUCUUUACGGUAUUCUUUUCUCUAUCAUUUGGUAUAUUUUAAGUUUUUUA